GGACUCUGUGUGAAAAGAGGACAGGGUGAUGAGGUUAACCCAAGCUCGGGGAACUGAGGCGACUUUCAGUGCAGACGUGUAAGAGAGCUCACCUCAUGAUGUUCUGUGCAGGCGGGUGUGUUACUGACAUCUGCUGGGCUUUCUGGCGGCUGAUCGGUUGGGGGAUCAGAUGCAGAGUUAAGAUCCUCGUCUCUGUUUGAAGAGCUGGUGUCUGAAUCUCUGUCACUGCUGAGAAUAAAGAAAAACAGACAUUGCUCCUGAAGAAGAUCAAACAAGUGAGGACAGGAUGUCCAAUCACAGGAGCAGGUCCGGAUUUACGGUUGGUCAAAACAAGAGCUAGAAUUUGGGGUAAAAAAGUAAACUGCAAACCUACCAUGAAACAGAUGAAGAUGCAAGAUGAUUCCUCCACCAGGUGAGAUCUCAAACUGAAGUUUUGUGUUUGGCUUUUUUUGUGGGAGGGGGGACCUUCUUGAGCUCACGAAAUGAUGUCAGCUAUGAUGUGGUUUCAGUUUCCUGCUCUCAACACAAAAUCCUCCAGUGAAACACAGAGCUCCUUCAUGCUGAAACACCAUUGGUUGGUGUUGAAGUUUGAGGAAGUUACAGAUGUUAUAAAAUAAUUAAAAAGUGUCAGAAAAUGUGUUAUAAAAUACUUUAUUUAAUUAAAAACAAUUUAAAAAAUAGUCGGUAAUAGUCUGGUACAAUGCUGGUCAGAAUCUCACGUCCGUGCACUAUGAUCCUGUGUGAAGGAGUGAAAUAUCACAGAAAACAUUUAAUAUGAGCAUAUUACUGUAAAUAAUGGAUUGGAAUUAGUUUAUUUAAAAUAAUUUUAAAAAACUAAAGAAAACAAACAAAAAAAGUAUACACUCGCUGGCCCGUGAAUCACUCAACUCAAUGCAUUCAUGCAUGCAGACAUUGUUAAUAUGAUCUUCUGCAAUUCAAACCAAGCAUCAGAAUGAUGAAGAAAGGUGUUGAAGUGACUUUGAACGUUGCAUAGUAUUUCAGAAACUUUCAUCCACAACCAUCUUAAGGAUCUCCAGAGAAUGGUCAGAAAAAGAGAAAAUAUUCAGUGAGUCUUGUUGAUGCCAGAGAUCAUAGGGGAAUGGACAGACUGGCUCUAGCUGACAGAAAAACAGAAUAUCAUCUGAGAAUGCACAACAUGUCCAAUAGAAGCAGAUGAGCUACAGCAGCAGACGACCAGAGUAUCACUCCUGUCAGCUAAGAACAGGAAACUGAAGCUACAAUUCACACAGACUCACCAAAUUUGGACAAUAGAAGAUUGGAAAACAUUUCCUGGUCUGAUGCGUCUCAAUUUUUGCUCUGACAAUCGGAUGGUAGAGUCAGAAUUUGGGCUCCACAACACAAAAACAUGGAUAUACAACAGCUCUCACUGAGACACUUUUAUAGAAUGGGUUUAUGUUGACAAACUUUUCACUUGAGUAAACUUCAAGACUUAAGCUUAAAUAAGUUAUUUGUUUUUACUUCAGAAGCUGAAAAUCACAGGAGGAGAGAAGAUAUUAAGCUUUAAGUUGCUCGUACUGCUUUAAUGCAAACAUGUUUUUCUUUCGUUGGGGUAAAAGUUUGGAAUUCCUAACAGAAAAAUAAAAACAUUUGUUUGCUGCAGUGAUUUCCUUAUAUAUUUUGGAAAUUAUCAUUGCCUGGAAGCUAAAGCAUUAAAAUCAAAUCUGCACUUCUUACUCUUUAAUGUUCUUUUAAACAUUUUCAACAGUCAACAUAAGUCCACACAUCAUUAUGACAAGAAAGGCACAGUGAGAAAAAUAACAUUCUUAUUUUAUUUCUGCCUCUAUAUCACAUCUUAAAGAAAAAGAUACAAUACCAGAUUAUCAAACUGAACACUAAUCACAUAAUUUAUAUGCUUGCCCUCUAUUUGUUUAAAAGCUGAUCGCAAAUUUUCUAAAUGCAAAGAAAAAGUCAAAUUUUUUGCAUUUCUUUGAGAAUUACAAACAACAAAUUUGAUAAAAUGUUUAUUACUGUAAAAAUAAAAAAUAAAUCCUCAGUUUUAACACUGAUUUAUUAAUUUAUUAUUAAUUAACAUACAAAAACAUUUGCCAUUGUUUUU